UAUGAAGCUGGAAUCGCUAGUAAUCGCAGAUCAGAAUGCUGCGGUGAAUACGUUCCCGGGUCUUGUACACACCGCCCGUCACACCAUGGGAGCCAGGAAUGCCCGAAGCCAGUGGCCUAACCGCAAGGGAGGAGCUGUCGAAGGCAGGCCCGGUAACUGGGGUGAAGUCGUAACAAGGUAGC
rnacentral:rRNA from 1 species